UGCAGCAUACAAAGAGAGCAUGCGAGCCACUGGUACAUUUUAUUUUAUAUUAAUACUUUUAUAUUAAAUAAUUGUUUCAGUGUGGUCAGCAGCUGAUUUUUUUGUCAAAUAGGUGGAGGUCCUCCAUGUAAACCUCUGACUGAGAUAGCCGAGAUAGUAGAGGAGAUACUUGGAACGGACAAUCCUUCCAUUUGUGGCAUUCCAGAAUCCCGAGACCCUGCACUACUCAAAUUGAAGGAGUUACAAAGAUGUGUGGAUGAUGCUGGAGCUGGUCCAUCUGAAGCACCUUCUCCUUUAUCUCAGGACAUCUCACUGUGUCCUCCAGAUGAGCCUGCCUCACAAGACACAGGGUUCGCACAGGGACCAGACCCUGAGGAUGACAUUGAGUCUCUUAAAAGAAAAAAGCUCAAAUUAGAAAUUAAGCUGCUGAAAAUUCAAAAUGAAUAUUAUGCAUUAAAACUGAAAAAAAUAAAGAAUACUCAAUGAUUGUACAUAUGCUUUGUGCAAAUAAAACUGUGUGAUGACAAA